rnacentral:rRNA from 1 species
UGAAACACGGACCAAGGAGUCUAACAUGUGCGCGAGUUGUCGGGCAGGAAACCCGAGAGCGUAAUGAAGGUGAAGGUCGCUUCGUGCGGCUGAAAUGGGAUCCUUGCCCUUCGGGGUUCGGAGCACCAUAGUCCCGUCUCGUCUGCUCGCCAGUGAGGCGGAGACAGAGCGUACACGUUGGGACCCGAAAGAUGGUGAACUAUGCCUGAGCAGGAGGAAGCCAGAGGAAACUCUGGUGGAAGUCCAUAGCGGUUCUGACGUGCAAAUCGAUCGUCAGACUUGGGUAUAGGGGCGAAAGACUAAUCGAACCAUCUAGUAGCUGGUUCCCUCUGAAGUUUCCCUCAGGAUAGCUGGCGCUGGGAACGCAGUUUUAUCCGGUAAAGCGAAUGAUUAGAGGACUUGGGGACGAAACGACCUCAACCUAUUCUCAAACUUUAAAUGGGUAAGAAGUCUGGCUUGCUUGAUUUUUGAAGCGCAGACACUCUAGCGAAUGCAAGUGCCAAGUGGGCCAUUUUUGGUAAGCA